GACGGAGGAUGCAAGUGUUAUCCGGAAUCACUGGGCGUAAAGCGUCUGUAGGUGGUUUCAAAAGUCCACUGUUAAAGAUUGAAGCUUAACUUCAAAAAUGCCGUGGAAACUUUGAAACUUGAGUAUGAUAGGGGUAGAGGGAAUUUCCAGUGGAGGCGGUGAAAUGCGUAGAUAUUGGAAAGACCACCAAUGGCGAAGGCACUCUACUGGGCCAUUACUGACACUGAGAGACGAAAGCUAGGGGAGCGAAUGGG
rnacentral:rRNA from 1 species